AAAUUGAAGAGUUUGAUCAUGGCUCAGAUUGAACGCUGGCGGCAGGCCUAACACAUGCAAGUCGAACGGUAACAGGAAACAGCUUGCUGUUUCGCUGACGAGUGGCGGACGGGUGAGUAAUGUCUGGGAAACUGCCUGAUGGAGGGGGAUAACUACUGGAAACGGUAGCUAAUACCGCAUAACGUCGCAAGACCAAAGAGGGGGACCCUCGGGCCUCUUGCCAUCGGAUGUGCCCAGAUGGGAUUAGCUUGUUGGUGGGGUAACGGCUCACCAAGGCGACGAUCCCUAGCUGGUCUGAGAGGAUGACCAGCCACACUGGAACUGAGA
rnacentral:rRNA from 1 species